rnacentral:rRNA from 1 species
UUUUACUUAAUCAUCCGCCUGGGUACUACGAGCACUAGCUUAAAACCCAAAGGACUUGGCGGUGCUUUAAACCCACCUAAAGGAGCCUGUUCUAGAACCGAUAACCCCCGUUAAACCUCACCCUCUCUUGUUCUUCCCGCCUAUAUACCGCCGUCGUCAGCUUACCCUGUGAAGGCUUAAAAGUAAGCAAAGUCAGUUGUACUCAAAACGUCAGGUCGAGGUGUAGCAUAUGAGAGGGGAAGAAAUGGGCUACAUUCCUUAACUUAAGGCACUACGGACAAUGUGAUGAAAAGAAUAUUAGAAGGAGGAUUUAGCAGUAAGCAGUAAAUAGAGAGUCC